CAUGAUUUAGCCAGCACCCCCAAGCAAAGAGACCUUUAGUUUGAUACCCCGAAACCAGGUGAGCUACCCCGAGACAGCCUAUAUUAAUCUAGGGCUAACCCGUCUCUGUGGCAAAAGAGUGGGAAGAGCUCCGGGUAGAAGUGAAAGACCUACCGAACCUGGUGAUAGCUGGUUGACUGAGAAAUGGAUAGAAGUUCAGCCUCGUACACCCCAAACCAAGAAAUGUUAUCGCCAAGAUAUUUAGGGAAACAUACGAGAGUUAGUUGAAAGGGGUACAGCCCUUUUAACAAAGGAUACAACCUUUACAGGAGGAUAAAGAUCAUAAUGUAUAAAAUAUACUGUUCUAGUGGGCCUGAAAGCAGCCACCUAAACAGAAAGCGUUAAAGCUCGGACAGAAAGAAGUUUAUUAUAUUGAUAAAAAAUCUUAUUCCCCUAACUAUAUCAGACCAACCCAUGCCCACAUGGAAGAGAUUAUGCUAAAAUGAGUAAUAAGAAGACCCGCUCUUCUCCCAGCACAAGUGUAAACCAGAUCGGACCAACCACUGGAGCUUAACGAACCCAACCCAAGAGGGUAGUGUGAUUAAGAGAGAACACGAGAAGACCUCACAUUAAUUGAUCGUUAACCCCACACUGGAGUGCUAUUUUAAGGGAAAGACUAAAAGAAAGGGAAGGAACUCGGCAAACACAAGCCUCGCCUGUUUACCAAAAACAUCGCCUCCUGCAACUAGACUGAGUAUAGGAGGUCCAGCCUGCCCAGUGACUACGGGUUCAACGGCCGCGGUAUCUUGACCGUGCAAAGGUAGCGCAAUCACUUGUCUCUUAAAUAGAGACCUGUAUGAAUGGCUAGACGAGGGCUUAACUGUCUCCCCCUUCCAGUCAGUGAAAUUGAUCUAUCCGUGCAGAAGCGGGUAUAAAUAUACAAGACGAGAAGACCCUUUGGAGCUUAAGGUACAAAAUUCAACCACGUUAAACAACUCUGUGAAAAGCAAGAACUUAGUGACAAUGAAAUUUUACCUUCGGUUGGGGCGACCGCGGAGGAAAAACCAGCCUCCGAGUGGACUGGGCCAAACCCCUGAAGCCAAUAGAGACAUCUAUAAGCCGCAGAACAUCUGACCAAAAAUGAUCCGGCUAAAAAGCCGAUCAACGAACCAAGUUACCCAAGGGAUAACAGCGCAAUCCCCUCCCAGAGCCCAUAUCUACGAGGGGGUUUACGACCUCGAUGUUGGAUCAGGACAUCCUAAUGGUGCAGCCGCUAUUAAGGGUUCGUUUGUUCAACGAUUAAAGUCC
rnacentral:rRNA from 1 species